GACGAACGCUGGCGGCGUGCCUAAUACAUGCAAGUUGAGCGCUGACGGUUGGUACUUGUACCGACUGGAUGAGCAGCGAACGGGUGAGUAACGCGUGGGGAAUCUGCCUUUGAGCGGGGGACAACAUUUGGAAACGAAUGCUAAUACCGCAUAAAAACUUUAAACACAAGAUUUAAGUUUGAAAGAUGCAAUUGCAUCACUCAAAGAUGAUCCCGCGUUGUAUUAGCUAGGUGGUGAGGUAAAGGCUCACCAAGGCGAUGAUACAUAGCCGACCUGAGAGGGUGAUCGGCCACAUUGGGACUGAGACACGGCCCAAACUCCUACGGGAGGCAGCAGUAGGGAAUCUUCGGCAAUGGACGAAAGUCUGACCGAGCAACGCCGCGUGAGUGAAGAAGGUUUUCGGAUCGUAAAACUCGGUUGGUAGAGAAGAACGUGGGUGAGAGUGGAAAGCUCAUCAAGUGACGGUAACUACCCAGAAAGGGACGGCUAACUACGUG
rnacentral:rRNA from 1 species